ACCUUCUCAACAUGGCGAGCUUGCUGGACGUCACGUCGCCUUCGCCUUUUCCGCUGCGGACUCUGCUCACCGACCUCCUCAGUAGAGCCGGCCCUGCUCACUACCGCGCCCACGUGUCCUGUUGUGCUUCAUUCCCACAGGCCGCAUAAGAUAUUCACUGAGCACCUAAUAUUGCCAGGCUGUGCUCAAGGCAGUGGGAUUCAUCAGUGAACAAUACAGACAAAAAUCACUGACCUAAAUGGAGCUUGAAGUUUAUAUCUAAAUCAUUCAAAGAUUCUGUGGUGGAAAAGAAGUUAGAAAUCUUUCAGCUGCAAAACAUAAGCCAAAAUACAACUCACCUUUGGAAUCAGAGAACUUACAGGUUCAUAAAAUUGCGAAGCCCAGAUGUGCACCUGAGGUGAGACUUCGUCCAGCUUCUGUCUGUGUCACUAAUCUUUCCUGCUUUCAGCGGCAUCCCUCGCAGGCCCGUGUUGUUCCCAACUGGUGUUCCCACCUGGCGGCAAACUGGUGACUGUAGUUACAGAUCUUCAACAUCACACUCAGGAGAAGAAGGAGAUUGCUUUUCAGGAGCUCCUGCAAGCCGGAGAAUAAAAGCUCUUAUUUAUUCAGAAGCCCUAAAACAUACCACCUUGGCUAUAGACUAUUUGGACAUUUCUAAGCAAAUCUGUCUGCAAAGGUGCUGAGCUGUGUUGAUCAACUGAAGCCCGUGACGUCUCAUCCUUGCAGUUGGAGUGAUUUUGUAUAUCUGUACUGGGAGCUGGAGGGAGAGUGAAAUACGUAACCCUGAGAGUGAAAGUUAGAAAAAUCUACGUGAAUCACAGAGGCAUUUGCCAAGAUCGGCUCAGAGAAAAGAACAUCAUGGUGGCUCACUCCUGUAAUCCCAGUGCUUUGGGAGGCUGAGGCUGGAGGAUUGCUUGAGGCCAGGAGUUCGAGACCAGCUUGACAACAUAGCAAGACUCCGUCUCUACACAAAUGGCUAUAGCCCCAGCUACUUGGAAGGCCGAGGUGGGAGAAUCGCUUGAGCCCAGGAGGUUGAGGUUGCAGUGAGCCAUAACUGCACCACCGCACUCCAGCCUGAGCAGCAGAGUGAGACUCUGUCUCAAAAAAUAAAUAAAAAUUAAAAAAAGGACAUCAGGUUCAGCAAAGCCUAAAGGGAACAUACGAGGAGGGAAGAGUUUGUUGGCCUUAGCAUAGGUCGAGGGUUCUGUGGGAGGUCUAGUUCUGGCACAGCCUGCGCUGAGACAGGAAGCUCUCUCAGAUGCUGCCAUAAACACUAUGUAUGAGGAACAAAUGCUGGGCAUGUGAGCACAUGAGCCCUGACUUUGAAGCCAACCAUGGGGCAUGACUGCAAUGCUGGGGGGAGCCAGGCCAGCAAGGACCAGGGAAAUGGAGAUGUGUCCAUCUGACGCUAAGGCGGUUCUCUUAACAAUUAAAGCAACCAAGUAACUGUGCAAUUACAGGAAUAGAAAACCAAAUGCUGCAUAUUCUCAUUUAUAAGGGGGAACUAAAUGAUGAGAACACAUGGACACAGAGGGGAACAACACACAUUGGGGCCUUUUGGAGGGUGGAGGGAGGGAGGAGGGAGAGGAUCAUGAAAAAUAACUAAUGGGUACUAGGCUUAAUACCUGGGUGAUGAAAUAAUCUGUACAACAAACCCCCAUGACACAAGUUUACCUGUGUAACAAACCUGCACGUGUAUCCCUGA
rnacentral:lncRNA from 1 species